UAGGGAAUCUUCCGCAAUGGGCGAAAGCUGACGGAGCAACGCCGCGUGAGCAAGAAGGCCUUCGGGUUGUAAAGCUCAGUCACUCGGGAAGAGCAACCUAAGGAGUGGAAAGCCUUAGGGGAGACGGUACCGAGGGAGGAAGCCCCGGCAAACUACGUGCCAGCAGCCGCGGUAAUACGUAGGGGGCAAGCGUUGUCCGGAAUCACUGGGCGUAAAGCGUGAUCGUAGGCGGUUUUUUGGGUCUGGGGUGAAAGUUCAGGGCUCAACCUUGAGAAUGCCUUGGAACUAGAAGACUUGAGUGCUGGAGAGGCAAGGGGAAUUCCACGUGUAGCGGUGAAAUGCGUAGAGAUGUGGAGGAAUACCAGUGGCGAAGGCGCCUUGCUGGACAGUGACUGACGCUGAGGCACGAAAGCGUGGGAGCAACA
rnacentral:rRNA from 1 species